rnacentral:tRNA from 1 species
GGGAGAAUAGCUCAAUUGGUAGAGCACCGGUCUCCAAAACCGUAGGCUGGGGGUUCGAGUCACUCUUCUCCCGCCA